GUUUUUAUAGUUUAAAUUAAAACCCUGAUCUUGUAAAUCAGAAAAAAGAACGUUCUUUAAAAACA
rnacentral:tRNA from 1 species